AAAAAAGAGGAAAGAAUAGCGAGAACUUGGGGUACAACUGCACCGGGAUUGCCAUAUGUUGAGGAGUGCAUUACCUCUGCUGGAAAUUGGCUCAUAGGUGGAGAUUUAGAAGUACUAAAACCUAUCAAAUAUAAUGAUGGGCUUGAUCAUUAUAGGCUCUCUCCCCAACAACUUCGGAAGGAAUUUGAUAACCGUCAAGCUGAUGCAGUUUUUGCAUUUCAAUUGAGGAAUCCUGUACAUAAUGGGCAUGCCUUGUUAAUGAAUGACACACGCAGGAGACUUUUAGAAAUGGGUUACAAGAAUCCAAUUCUAUUGCUUCAUCCUUUGGGAGGUUUCACAAAGGCUGAUGAUGUGCCUUUGGAUGUUCGGAUGGAACAACAUAGCAAGGUCCUUGAAGAUGGUGUUCUUGACCCUAAGACUACCAUUGUUUCUAUAUUCCCAUCACCUAUGCACUAUGCUGGUCCAACUGAAGUACAAUGGCAUGCCAAGGCACGGAUAAAUGCAGGUGCUAAUUUUUACAUUGUAGGUCGUGAUCCUGCUGGUAUGGGUCACCCGACAGAGAAGAGAGAUUUAUAUGACCCUGAUCAUGGAAAGAAGGUGUUGAGCAUGGCUCCUGGGCUGGAGAAGCUAAAUAUUUUGCCAUUUAGGGUGGCAGCAUAUGACACUGUGGCAAAGAAAAUGGCAUUUUUUGAUCCAUCUCGUUCUCAGGAUUUCCUCUUCAUCUCUGGAACUAAGAUGAGGACUUAUGCAAGAACUGGUGAAAAUCCUCCAGAUGGUUUUAUGUGUCCUGGUGGUUGGAAGGUGCUUGUCCAAUACUAUGAGAGCUUGCAGAUUGAAGAGGAAACAGAGAAGGCAACAGUCUUAUCCACUUAAAUAUGUGAUUUAUUACCAGAAUUUCACUCAAGUUUGCUCAAACAACAGAAGAAAGAGCUGUACCGUAGGGAUUGAUUUUGAUUAUAGUAAACUGAGAGAGUUUUCUUUUGACCCUCUGAGGUUGGGUUUCCCUUUUUUUU
rnacentral:misc_RNA from 1 species